AGCAGCCGCGGUAAUUCCAGCUCCAAUAGCGUAUAUUAAAGUUGUUGCAGUUAAAAAGCUCGUAGUUGAAUUUCGGGAUCAAUGUGUUGGUCGUGCCUUGGUACGUACUGGCAUUAUCGAUUCCUACCUUCUGAAGAACCUCGAUGUCAUUAAUUUGGUGUCUUGGGGAAUCAGGACUGUUACUUUGAAAAAAUUAGAGUGUUUAAAGCAGGCUCGCGCUUGAAUACAUUAGCAUGGAAUAAUGAAAUAGGACGUUUGAUUCUAUUUUGUUGGUUUCUAGGAUCGACGUAAUGAUUAAUAGGGAUAGUUGGGGGCAUUAGUAUUCAAUUGUCAGAGGUGAAAUUCUUGGAUUUAUUGAAGACUAACUACUGCGAAAGCAUUUGCCAAGGAUGUUUUCAUUAAUCAAGAACGAAAGUUAGGGGAUCGAAGACGAUCAGAUACCGUCGUAGU
rnacentral:rRNA from 1 species